GCUGAUACGGCUCAGUUGGUAGAGCGCACCUUUAAUGAGGGUGAGUCGGCAGUGCGAAUCUGCCUAUCAACACCA
rnacentral:tRNA from 9 species